CAUUCUCUUUUCUUAAUCCUUAUUAAUAAAAUCAAUUCAACUUAAAAUUUUAUGGUGUUUUUAGUUUAAUUUAAAAAUGGCAGCAGCUAUUUAAGUCUUUGACUGUAUAUUACCAUAUAUUGUUCUUUAUCCACAAAUUAAUAGCUGAUAUUUAUACUGAGUUUGUUUCAUUAUAUGUUUAGAUUUUUCAAUACAUCUAUAAAUUGAGAAACUGUACCAAUUGCUUUCUUGAAAAACUCCACUAAGUGGCAGAAUACCUAUUGGAUAUUGGUUGCUGUAUUUUGCUGUUUGUCAUUAAAAAUUAUCUAUCCAUAUUCUAGAAAAUAUUUGUAUUUUAAUAGAUAAGAAAAUAGUUUGCAGUCAGAUGUUUCCAUUCUUGAAAGAAAAUAGAUAAUACAAAUCAUAACAAUGUUAAGAAUAUUAAAAAAAAGAGUAAAAGGUAUG
rnacentral:lncRNA from 1 species